GUCACGGCCCGCCCGGCACCACGCUCACCGCCGCGCACCGCCCCUGGCAACGCCUGCCUGCCGACGGGACGCAUGACACUCCGGAAAGGGUUCCUGUUCCUGUGGUGCUCACCAGGGAGCAAUUUUAUUUCCCUCAUGCCCACUGGGGAUGCAGAGAGGCAGCCCGAGGGGUUACCAGCAGCACAGCUUCCACCACAGGUCCCCGAGAGAGGUUAAUCACAUCACCACAUGAGCUACGAGUACAUGAGCCACUACAGCAAGCUGCAGCACCCAAACAUCCAGGACAGCCAAUGCAACGCACAGGCACUGACCAGCACCAAGUCUUAUAAACUGAGAAAGUGUUGAUGCAGCGAUUGCAGAAUUUAUUAUUUGGAGCAACGUAAUGUUACCAAGAACAUUUCACACAGAUUUAGUCCAGGAUACAGAGUCUUCAUAUUGAUAACAUCACUUUCACGGAAGCACUGAGUGGCAAGUCUAAAGGGAAAACUAAUGGCCAGGAGCAAGCACGGAAGGGUGGAAGGAAACCCGAGGCCCAGCCCUGCCAGAUCUAUCCCUACACAAGGAGCCCCUAUAGGCACAGGCGAGUCUGCUCACUGCAGGAAGCUGAGGCACUGCUCAUGGAGGAAAUGGCACCACUGAGCCACAACCAUCACAGGAACUCACAGUGAAGGCUACAUGGAUAUCUUACGUUUAAAACAGAACUUUCUAACUGAGAUAAACCUACAUGUUAUGAAAACAGAUGUUUGAGUUUGGAUUUAUGAUAACCAAAGCCACCAAAAACCCUGUUUAUUUCAGAGGCUGAAGUUCAUUGCUUACGCAGGACUCCUGGCAGCCUUCAUCCCUGCAGACUCUGUGGAUGCUGACCUUGUUUCCCUGGACCAAUACAUGUUUCCCUUCCUGCAGUGCCACAGGUUCCAUCUCUAACCCCAUUCCUUCCUUCUUCGUUCUGCUCCCUCCCCAGCUUCCUGGUCUCUUCUUCCUUUAUUCUGUACAUUAACAAAGAAAGCAGUCAGCUUAAGUACUGGUCAGCUUGUUUAGUUAAAUGAGCUUCUAAUUAAAACAAGUAAUAACAAUUCCCCUUCCUCCCCUCAAAAUAAGGCGUAUACAAGCAAUAAUUUUCAGUACUCUUGUUAUUUAAAAUACAAGUAUUCCAAAGAAAGCUUCUAUUCUGUGUUGCAGCAAAUGCCACACACGCUCUCUUUAGGCUUUUUCCUUUAAUUAAGCUUGCUCUUGGAGCAUUUCUAGUCUUGUUCAAUCUCAGUCUUCCCUCCCAGGAGGCAUUUUAGACUACUGCAUGCUUUCCUGAACCCUUCCUAAAGCCCUGCAACAGACAAGUCAUCAUUGAAGUUGGUACAAUGCUGGCAAUAUGAAAGGCAUCUAUCUGAAGACAUGCUUCUUUUUAUGGGAUCAACUAAACUGAUCCAAGUUGCAUUUCUAGACACAGCCUAGGACCAAUUCUAUGGCUAAAUUUCAUAAAACAGAAAAUACUCUUUUGUCCUUACAAUUAAUUCACAUCCUUAGGAUAUGCCUUGAUCAAGCACAAUGCACAAUGUCUGCACAGACUGACAGCGGAUGAGCGAAAUAACUCCAACACAGGUUCUCCUUAACACCAUCAGCUCUGGAGGCAGUGCCCAUCCAGCUGGUGCCAUGAGGCAGCACUGCAGAGAACACAGUGUCUGUGAGCACAGCUCCAGGAAGCACCAUCUGCUUCUGGGAAGCUUUGGGGAAAACCCCAAAUGGAGAAGUUGAGUAGGAGCAGGAUCUUCAUUUUAAACAAUCUCACUCUGCAGAUGAGUAGAAAGCAAUAGUCCAGGGUUGUUGUUCUUGGGCACCCCUCCAUUUCCUGCUGUGCUAAGUGCAGUGCUGAAGACCCUGGCCAAGGCAGGAGGAACCAGCAAGGAGCAUCAGCAAGCUUAAAGCAUGCACAACAGGGUGAUGGAAGAGAAAAGACUGACAGGAACAGCAUUUAGGAAUGAAGGGAAAGAAACAAACACACAAGAACCACAUAAAGAAACAAAAGGUACUGAAGUGAACUAACAAAAAAGGAUGGAAAACAAGACAAUCAACUCCAUUUUCUUUCUUGAACUAUACCAGAACCAAAGUGAAGUCUUCACAUUUCCGAACAAAUAGUAUAGCACCGCACAUGUUGCAGGACUAGGUCCAAGAGGUUACUUAUUUCUUCUCAGACGCUCAGUAGUUCCAGAGCUUAGAAAUUCCCUUCAGCUCAACUGCAGGAAUCCAUGAGCUCUGUGGAUUGUGCGCAGAUGCACAAAUGUGUCUGAUGAUAUAUGGGCACAUAUUUUCUAGCUUCUGACGAGGUAAUUGCUGUGUCAGAAACCAACUGGUAUCAGUGAGCUCAUGACCUUGCUGCUGGGAAAGUGAUGACAGUGAAGAUUAUCACCACUGUCUUUUCUUAAAAAUGAGAAAGGGGAAUGGACAUGUUCUUAAAAAGUCCUGAUGAGAUCAAACAUGACACACUGGAGAUUUACAGACUUACAAACGGGUGGCAGGGCCUUCUAAGGGACCAAUAUCAGGAAAGAUGCCAUGUAAGAAGCAUGCCAACACACCCAGGUUGACAUCCAGCCCUCCUCCUGCUGUUAGCACCAGUUUCAGCUUUAUUGCUCCCAGCAGAGAACAUCACUGGGUUUUUAGCCUUCAAGGUGCAUCUCAGGCAUCACCAAGAUCAAUGUCGGUAAUUCCUCUGGGAAAAACUGCCACAGCAUGAGGUUUAAUGACAAAGAAACAAACCAACAGACAAGUUUUUUUUUUCAUUACAGAUAGCGCCCAAUAGUCUUGCAUGAUACGUUCAGUUGAAUAUAUGAUCUGGUGACCAUUUACACCUGCUGUCUCGAGGACAACAUUAAGAAAUGAAAUCUGAGAUUUUGCUUUCAUAUUCUGUAAGGGCUACAUUCCAGUUUCAAGAGCACGGAUUCAUUGUUGGUUAAGGGCAGAAACUCUGUGCCCAAAACCGACACAUAGCCUCUGAGCAGAGCUGAAAAGCUGUACAACUUACAAGUGAUGAGACCUCAUGCAUCUCAUAGUGACCACUUCAGGCAGAACUGCUCUGCAGAUUGUUCCUCUCAUUGAGGUUUGUUUAGUCACUAGUGGCUUUGUGUAAUAACAACUUCUCAGUAUUAUCUUCUGCAAAAUAAGGACACGGCAGCAUUCAUGCCCUUAGAGAACCCCAUAUGCAAAUGUCAACAUACUACAAACAUAAACUCACUCCAACAGUUCCCCACACAAAUGCACUUAGUUGUAAAGCACUGUGGGCAGUCCCAUAUAAAAACCACUGCAGUUUGGGGUGCUGACUGUUUCUCAUGCACUUAUUUAUUUAUUGUAAAACUGAGAUGUAGAGACAAUGGAAAUUUUUGCUGUGUUUUUAUUAAUGAUAUGCAUGAC